rnacentral:rRNA from 1 species
AUUGAACGCUGGCGGCAUGCCUUACACAUGCAAGUCGAACGGCAGCGGACCUUCGGGUGCCGGCGAGUGGCGAACGGGUGAGUAAUAUAUCGGAACGUACCUUUCAGUGGGGGAUAACGUAGCGAAAGUUACGCUAAUACCGCAUAUUCUGUGAGCAGGAAAGCAGGGGAUCGCAAGACCUUGCGCUGAUUGAGCGGCCGAUAUCAGAUUAGCUAGUUGGUGAGGUAAAGGCUCACCAAGGCGACGAUCUGUAGCGGGUCUGAGAGGAUGAUCCGCCACACUGGAACUGAGACACGGUCCAGACUCCGUACGGGAGGCAGCAGUGGGGAAUUUUGGACAAUGGGCGCAAGCCUGAUCCAGCCAUGCCGCGUGAGUGAAGAAGGCC